UACGGGAGGCAGCAGUGGGGAAUAUUGCACAAUGGGCGAAAGCCUGAUGCAGCUAUGCCGCGUGUAUGAAGAAGGCCUUAGGGUUGUAAAGUACUUUCAUCGGGGAGGAAAAACAAAACUAAUAAUUUUAUUUCUUGACGUUACCCGAAAAAGAAGCACCGGCUAACUCCGUGCCAGCAGCCGCGGUAAUACGGAGGGUGCUAGCGUUAAUCAGAAUUACUGGGCGUAAAGAGCACGUAGGUGGUUUUUUUAAGUCAGAUGUGAAAUCCCUGGGCUUAACCUAGGAACUGCAUUUUGAAACUGAAAUACUAGAGUAUCGUAGAGGGAGGUAGAAUUCUAGGUGUAGCGGUGAAAUGCGUAGAUAUCUGGAGGAUACCUGUGGCGAAAGCGGCCUCCUAAACGAAUACUGACACUGAGGUGCGAAAGCGUGGGGAGCAAACAGGGAUUAGAUACC
rnacentral:rRNA from 1 species